GUCCAGCUGACGAGUCCCAAACAGGACGAAAUGCGCGUUCUUGAU
rnacentral:hammerhead_ribozyme from 1 species